UACGUAGGGGGCAAGCGUUGUCCGGAAUCAUUGGGCGUAAAGAGCGUGUAGGCGGCCCGGUAAGUCCGCUGUAAAAGUCAAAGGCUCAACCUUUGAAUGUCAGUGGAUACUGCCGGGCUAGAGUCCGGAAGAGGCGAGUGGAACUCCUGGUGUAGCGGUGGAAUGCGCAGAUAUCAGGAAGAACACCAACGGCGAAGGCAGCUCGCUAGGACGGUACUGACGCUGAGACGCGAAGGCGUGGGGAGCGAACAGG
rnacentral:rRNA from 1 species